CACGUGUGUGGUACUUUUCUUCCUUCUCUUCUGGAAGAUCUUUCUUCCUCUGCUCUCACUAAACCUACCCUUUCUCACACUUUUCUUCCUUUUCUUCCGGAUCUUUCUUCAUCUGCUCUCACUAUCUUACGACCAUUGCUGUUGUCAUUAGUUUAGAAGGUUGGCUUUACAAGAUCUCAAGUUGCUGCUACUAUUUCUGAUUCUAACUUUAUCCAGCUUAAGUACUUGAACAAUGGAUUUUAUGGCUGGGAUCGUUUGAAGAUUGUCGAAAGUUCGUUACUUUGCUUUUAAGGUAGGUGUUAAGGAAGUUAUGUUUUAUGCCUUAUUAAAGUUUUGUUUGUUUCUUUUGUCGUUUACUAACAUUUUUCUUAACUUUCCGUCUGGAUAUGCAUACAUGUUAGAGACUAAUACUAUUAUCGUGUUUACUAUUAUGAUAAUUUUAGUCGUAUUUUAAGAUGUCAAA